UACGUAGGGUGCGAGCGUUGUCCGGAAUUAUUGGGCGUAAAGGGCUCGUAGGCGGUUUGUCGCGUCGGGAGUGAAAUCCACUGGCUUAACUGGUGGCUUGCUUUCGAUACGGGCAGACUGGAGGUAUGCAGGGGAGAACGAAUUCCUGGUGUAGCGGUGAAAUGCGCAGAUAUCAGGAGGAACACCGGUGGCGAAGGCGGAUCUCUGGGCCAUUACUGACGCUGAGGAGCGAAAGCGUGGGGAGCGAACAGG
rnacentral:rRNA from 1 species